rnacentral:lncRNA from 1 species
CAUGAACCAUUGCAGGGAGUAAAAGAGAUGCAAGUACCAGAGUUAAGUUGGAGGAGGGAAGCGUGAAGUAUAGAAUCUGGGAGACACUGAAGGAAAUACCAUCCACAUCAACUCUGGUUUGGGUCUACCAGGCUCAGUCUUGAUUCUGACGACAUUUGAUGGUGUCAGCAGAGUAUAAGGACCUGAAUGACCGUUUCUGCAUCCACCGAGUUACCCUCCUGGUGGUUGGUAGUUGAGCAGGGUGGGGUGAUGCCUUGUUCCCUGAUACAAGCCGUGCCUUCAGCAGUGCUGAGCUCCCAGGAUUUAAUUCCUUCAAUUACAAGG